GGUCUGGGAGCAAAUUGUUCUCAUCCGCCCAUUAUGACAGGGAAAGUCUUCCCAUGCAUGAGGUAGGCACCCCAUAACCCAGGAUGGGUAGCCUGGUUUAGCCCAUCUGCCGUGAUGGUCUUCCUGGGGGCGGGGGGAAAGGCAGACACCAAAGGAGGAUGAGCAGCCCCAAGAAGGGCUCGUGCUCUCUGAAGAUCUGAUACAUCUCCAGACGUUUACUAAGUGAAAAAUGAGUCAACUAUUUAUUAAGUACUCGCUACAGUCUAGGCACUAGAGAAACAAUCCCUAUUCAUGGGGAGCUUCCAAUCUGAUGGGGGAGGCAAUAAGUACCUAUGUGAGGAAACUGAGACCAGGUGGGGUAAGUGACUUGCCCCACAACACACAGAUAAAGAACAGAGCUGAGAGUUGAACUCCCAUCACUUGAGUCCCGUUCUAGAGAGCCACUUUCUUUGCUUCCUUCUACCUGAAUGCUCAUCCUUCCCUUUCAAAGAGGACCAGUGACAUCAUGGGAUGGUGUCUUCGCUUACAGGAUCAGCGACUCUAGCAAGAGGCUGACAUGUCGAGGAGCUGGCACCUCAGUCUUGCCCCUCUCCCCACAACCAGAGACUCCAGGCGAUUUCCCUUUGGGUUAGAUCUGGGAUUCCUUCUAUCAGACUGUGGUGUUGUGAAGAUCCACUGAGAGAUAAUUCUACAAGCAUGAAUGCAAGGCCUGGCCCACAGCCAAUGUGACAUGGGAGGAGGAAAGAAGCCUAGCUCUGCUACUUUUGGACAGGCGAGCUUCCAUGACUGCUGCUUUAGGCAAGUUCAGAGAUUCAUCCCCGGGUUUCCUUCUCAUGAACUGAUGAGAAUUUUUAGCCCUAGGAACAAAGCCAGGUUAGGAUGGGAGUUUAGAUUGGGGUGAGGGGGCUUCCCACUGAUUUUCUGUGUAAGAGAGGAUUUACAAGCCAAGCCAAGCAUGCAACACAAUAGUAAAGGACUUCAGCUGUCAAUCAAAAAAUUCCAAAUGGAAUGUUCCCAGGAAGGGCAAUUGGGAGAAAGCCAGGCUGAAGAGGGAAGAACCUGGGAACAGGUCCCCUGUUAGCUUCUAUCCUAGGCUGAAGGACCCUUGGGGGGGUGGGGCUUCUGGAGCUAGGCUGAGAAGAAAUUAACUUUUGUUCGUGGGGUGAAGAUAUUGGUGUCUCUGAGAUCUGAGUUUGAAGGAAGAAGAAAAAUGAUUAAACAGUUAUCCUCCCAUCUCCUUGACAGACUUGUGUCACAGUUGUGACAGGACUGACAUUUCCCCAAAUCCUCCUAAUCCUCAUUAUAGACUAGGAAUAACCCCAUCCCUCUCACCUCAUCUUCCAUCCUGUCCUAUCUUCCCCAAUAAACCUCCUUACCUGAGAAA